GCGGCGGACGGGUGAGUAACACGUGGGUAACCUGCCUGUAAGACUGGGAUAACUCCGGGAAACCGGGGCUAAUACCGGAUGCUUGAUUGAACCGCAUGGUUCAAUUAUAAAAGGUGGCUUUUAGCUACCACUUACAGAUGGACCCGCGGCGCAUUAGCUAGUUGGUGAGGUAACGGCUCACCAAGGCGACGAUGCGUAGCCGACCUGAGAGGGUGAUCGGCCACACUGGGACUGAGACACGGCCCAGACUCCU
rnacentral:rRNA from 1 species